rnacentral:rRNA from 1 species
CCCCUAGUAACUGCGAGUGAAGCGGGAAAAGCUCAAAUUUAAAAUCUGGUGGUCUUUGGCCAUCCGAGUUGUAGUCUGGAGAAGUGCUUUCCGCGUUGGACCGUGUACAAGUCUCUUGGAACAGAGCGUCAUAGAGGGUGAGAAUCCCGUCUUUGACACGGACUACCAAUGCUUUGUGAUGCGCUCUCAAAGAGUCGAGUUGUUUGGGAAUGCAGCUCAAAAUGGGUGGUAAAUUCCAUCUAAAGCUAAAUAUUGGCGAGAGACCGAUAGCGAACAAGUACCGUGAGGGAAAGAUGAAAAGCACUUUGGAAAGAGAGUUAAACAGUACGUGAAAUUGCUGAAAGGGAAACGCUUGAAGUCAGUCGCGUUGGCCGGAACUCAGCCUUGCUUUUGCUAGGUGCACUUUCUGGUUGACGGGCCAGCAUCAAUUUUGAUUGUUGGAUAAAGGUUGGGGGAAUGUGGCACCUUCGGGUGUGUUAUAGCCCUCAGUCACAUACAACAGUUGGGAUUGAGGAUCUCAGCACGCCUUUAUGGCCGGGGUUCGCCCACGUUCGUGCUUAGGAUGCUGGCAUAAUGGCUUUAAACGACCCGUCUUGAAACACGGACCAAGGAGUCUAACAUGCCUGCGAGUGUUUGGGUGGAAAACCCGAGCGCGUAAUGAAAGUGAAAGUUGGGAUCUCUGUCAUGGAGAGCACCGACGCCCGGACCUGACCUUCUGUGACGGCUCCGCGGUAGAGCAUGUAUGUUGGGACCCGAAAGAUGGUGAACUAUGCCUGAAUAGGGUGAAGCCAGAGGAAACUCUGGUGGAGGCUCGUAGCGAUUCUGACGUGCAAAUCGAUCGUCAAAUUUGGGUAUAGGGGCGAAAGACUAAUCGAACCAUC